ACAUUAUAUUAUUAGUCCUUCGUGAAUUCCUCGUGUCCUCUCUCCACAUCCUUUUAAAAAUAUCCAAGGAGAGCAUUGGAGUAGACAAGAGGAACCUCGGAUCUUCCUAAAUGCGUUUUGAUAAGGAUGGCCCGUGUACUUUGUAUGUGUCAAAUUACACUCUACCCUUCCUUUAUAGAGCGACUGUCCAAAAAAGCAGCUAAUCCCUUUGAAACCGGCCGAUGUGGCAUCGAUAUAAAUCUGAAACAUUUAUUCUAGUGUCACAAUUGACCACAAAGUGUAAAUAGGAUAACGUUGGUCAUAAAGUCAGUCUCGUCUAAAACUAAGUUUGGAACCUCAGUAAAUCAAGGUUGGGUUUGGAUUACAAUCAUGUCAACAAAUCAGGCUCCGUUUUGACAAACUCCACGUGCAAAUUCUUUCGACCUCUUUGCUUCCCUUCAUUGAAUGGAACUUCGCCCCCAAUGCUUUCAAAGAAGGAUCAUGGCCCUAUAUGGAUUGACCAUGCCCCCUGAGCCAAAAUUCGGCUGUUUGCAUGCACUGUCGAAGGACCCUGGUAUAUGAUCGUAAUAGGCGCUUGGAGUUUGUCGGUCCCCAAGUUUGUACCAGCAACGCUAGCAUUGUGUGUUUGCAACAACCGGUGGUGCCUCACCCAACACCACCUGAUGAGGAAGUAAAUUGUUUAUGAGGAUUGCCUGCUGCAGUUGUUCGAGAGAUGUCCAGUUUGAAGCUAAACAUGCAACAUAGAGAAGACCAGCAAGGGGACCCUUAGCAUCAAGCAGACAUGCCUCGCUUAUCUUUGAUAUGGGGCCAAGAGCUGAUCUAUGCUGCCGUGCCCAUCAAAGGCGCACAGGCUAAAACCUCACGCCCAGCCUCACCUCUUGCCUGCACACCAACGGUCGUCGAUGGGGAGACCAGAAUAAAAUGCAUCUAUGGAGCCGGCACUUGGAGAAUUGCAAGAUGAUGUGAUGGAGUCCUGAACGACAGACAGGCUUUAUACUGAUGUCUCUAAAUGGAGAGAGACCUGCCACUCGGCAUUAACAUUUUACUAGACGCAACUUUUACUUGUAAAGUGUUUCUUUAUUAUUGAAUGGUAUCAGCCAAUAUUGGGAGGGAGAAACCCUGUGUAUUAUGCACCAGGAUCCGGGAACUGCUGUUGUAUACAAGACACCACACCGGAAGGUAUGACCACGCCGACAUUUUUUCCAAGGUAACCCCAUUACCACCAGAAACCUCUGGCAUCUCACCAUACAGCUACCUCUAGUUAUUGAACUCAACCUGCGGGAGGUUUUUGUUGUAAUUGAGUGGGGGGAAACAGCUGUGAGAGACUUCAAUCAAAGUUGAUUUCUGAGAGGCGUUGUUUACUCAUCAUAGCUAAUGGUAAAGAAUAGAUCAUGUAAACACUUGUGGGUGCACAAAUAUCAUGACAUUCACAUAAAGUUAGACCUUCUAACCGAGAGUUCAAAUGAAUGUGUCUUGAUUUGUAAAAAUGAUGGCCUUUAGAUGAAAUGACAUGGAACUCUUACAGGUUUGUCCACAGUGAAUGAGUUCCACACUGGCAUGAGGGAUCUCUUGCUAUUGCAUUGACAAAGACUGGAUGAUACAGUAGGCAGUAGUCAUUGCUGGGUUACAGCAUUUUUGGUCUCCCCAACAAUGUGUGCUUCUCCUCAACAGCGGUCACUGAAAGUGAGUUGACAGACAGAUGACACCAUUUUACUUUUUCAGAUUUUUGCGGUGUUAAAGCAUGAAUUUAAAAUGAAUUGAAUUAAGAUGUUUUGGUCACUGGCCUACACAGUAUACCAUAAUGUCAAAGUGGAAUUAUGUUUUUAGAAAUGUAAAAAAAAUAAAAGCUCUAAUGUCUUGAGUCAAGUAUUCAAACCCUUUGUUAU